GCGAUUAAAAUUAUUGGAUGGUUUUAUUAAAAUAUUAGUUUAUUUAGUUUAUUAAAAAAUUUAUUUAUAUAAUAGUUCACAAUUACUGUAGGGGAAAUUUGAAAUAGGUUGAAAUAAAUGAGCAUUGAUAAGAAGAGUUAAUUUUUUGUACCUUGGGUAUCAGGGUUUAUUAAAAAGUUCCUAUUGAUUUAGUUUUCCCGAAUUUUGAGGAGCUAGUAAAAAAUUUAUUUUAAUGUUGAAUAAUUAUUUAUAAUUUUAUACUUGAAAUGAAACGUUAUUCGUCUCUAAAGAUAUCUGGUUUUUUAAGAAAAAAAUUUAAUUUUGCUAAUUUCUUUUAAAAAUUUUAAAAUUUUUGUAAAAAAUUUAGUAAUAAGGUGAGGGAUAAGCUUCACUUUAAAUGACUAUAAUAUUUAAGUAUAUUGGGUUUGUAGGAUUAAAAUUUUUCAUCAUUUUUAGUAUGUUAUAAUAAUCUCAGUUUAUAUAAUAUUUAGGUAGUUUUAGGUUGUUUAUUAAAAAAUCUAAUUUAAUUUGUGAUUGGAGUUACAAUGAUGGAAUUAGUAAAUAUUUUUUUAAGUUUAAUUUUUAAUUUUAGGUUAUUUUAAGUAACUAGGCAAUUAUUUUUCCACCUGUUUAUUAAAAACAUGUCCUUUUGUCUAAUAAUUUAAGGUCUAAUCUGCCCAAUGAUUUGAAUUAAAUGGCCGCGAUAUCUUGAUCGUGCGAAGGUAGCAUAAUCAUUAGUUUCUUAAUUAGAAGCUUGCAUGAAAGAUUGGAUGAGAUAAAUACUGUCUCGGAGUAAAAGGUUGAAUUUUAUUUUUAAGUAAAAAAGCUUAGAUUUUUUUAAAAGACGAGAAGACCCUAUAGAGUUUAAUAAUUAAAUUUAAUUGAUGUAUAAGGGAUUUAAUGGUUUAAUUUUUUUUAAUUAUUUGGUUGGGGUGACAGGAAAAUUUUAUUAACUUUUUUUUAGUUGGAUAUUAAUAAAUAGGUUUUUGAUUUGUUUAACAGUUAAAAGAUUAAAUUACCUUAGGGAUAACAGCGUUAUUUUUCUUGAGAGUUCAAAUCGAAAGAAGAGUUUGCGACCUCGAUGUUGGAUUAAAAUAUAUUCUUGGUGUAGGAGCUGAGUUAGUUAGUCUGUUCGACUAUUAAAAUUUUACAUGAUCUGAGUUUAAACCGGCGUGAGCCAGGUUGGUUUCUAUCUUUAAUUUUAUAAUAUAUUUUAGUACGAAAGGACCAAAUAUGUGUUAAAUUAAUUUUUUAUCGAAUUUUAUU
rnacentral:rRNA from 1 species